rnacentral:rRNA from 1 species
UACGGAGGGCGCGAGCGUUAAUCGGAAUUACUGGGCGUAAAGCACGCGUAGGCUGUUGCGUAAGUUGGGGGUGAAAUCCCACGGCUCAACCGUGGAACAGCCCUUGAUACUGCGCGACUUGAAUCCGGGAGAGGGUGGCGGAAUUCCAGGUGUAGGAGUGAAAUCCGUAGAUAUCUGGAGGAACAUCAGUGGCGAAGGCGGCCACCUGGACCGGUAUUGACGCUGAGGCGCGAAAGCGUGGGGAGCAAACAGG